GACGAACGCUGGCGGCGUGCCUAAUACAUGCAAGUCGAACGCUUCUUUCCUCCCGAGUGCUUGCACUCAAUUGGAAAGAGGAGUGGCGGACGGGUGAGUAACACGUGGGUAACCUACCCAUCAGAGGGGGAUAACACUUGGAAACAGGUGCUAAUACCGCAUAACAGUUUAUGCCGCAUGGCAUCAGAGUGAAAGGCGCUUUCGGGUGUCGCUGAUGGAUGGACCGGCGGUGCAUUAGCUAGUUGGUGAGGUAACGGCUCACCAAGGCCACGAUGCAUAGCCGACCUGAGAGGGUGAUCGGCCACACUGGGACUGAGACACGGCCCAGACUCCUACGGGAGGCAGCAGUAGGGAAUCUUCGGCAAUGGACGAAAGUCUGACCGAGCAACGCCGCGUGAGUGAAGAAGGUUUUCGGAUCGUAAAACUCUGUUGUUAGGGAAGAACAAGGACGUUAGUAACUGAACGUCCCCUGACGGUAUCUAACCAGAAAGCCACGGCUAACUACGUG
rnacentral:rRNA from 1 species